UACGUACUCCCUCCGUCCGAAAAUACUUGUCAUCAAAAUGGAUAAAAAAAAGAUGUAUCUAGAACUAAAAUACAUCGUCUAGAUACAUCCCUUUCUAUCCAUUUUGUUGACAAGUAUUUCAGGACGGAGGGAGUAGCAA
rfam:Triticum aestivum genome assembly, contig: Triticum_aestivum_CS42_TGACv1_scaffold_221838_3B